AUUGAACGCUGGCGGCAGGCCUAACACAUGCAAGUCGAACGAGUGGCGGACGGGUGAGUAAUGUAUGGGAACCUGCCAGAUGGAGGGGGAUAACUACUGGAAACGGUAGCUAAUACCGCAAACCAUCGGAUGUGCCCAGAUGGGAUUAGCUAGUAGGUGGGGUAAAGGCUCACCUAGGCGAAGAUCCCUAGCUGGUCUGAGAGGAUGACCAGCCACACUGGAACUGAGACACGGUCCAGACUCCUACGGUAGGCAGCAGUGGGGAAUAUUGCACAAUGGGCGCAAGCCUGAUGCAGCCAUGCCGCGUGUAUGAAGAAGGCCUUCGGGUUGUAAAGUACUUUCAGCGAGGAGGCGUUACUCGCAGAAGAAGCACCGGCUAACUCCGUGCCAGCAGCCGCGGUAAUUC
rnacentral:rRNA from 1 species